rnacentral:rRNA from 1 species
AUGGCCGAGUCGGCAAUUGGCUCCGUGCUUGGCAACGUGAGCACCCUUGCGGUCCAGGAGACCACAUUCCUAUGUGGUGUCAACCUUGAAGCGGGAUUCUUGAAGGAUGAGCUAAAGUGGCUAAAGAGCUACCUUAAAUCCGCCGACGCCAAAAGGAGAUCAGGAGAUGAGCUUGUGGCUACCUGGGUCAGCCAGAUCGAUGCAGCAUAUGAGGCCGAGAAUGCCAUUGAAGCGGCCGACUACAUGGAGAAGAGAAACAGGCUCAAGAAGGGCUUCAUGGGUGCCAUCUCCAGGUAUGCUCGCUUGCCAAGUGACCUGAUUGCUCUUCACACAAUUGGUGCUGAAAUACAGCGAGUAAAAAGGAAGAUCAGUGAGAUAUUUGAUAGUGCAAACCGUUUGAAAAUAAAUUUGGAUACUAGUGAUGUAGAAAAGGUUCAUAUUGAGGAUGAGUAUCCACAAGAUUAUGGUACUGUGCACCAAAACUUUGAAGAUAUUGACCUUGUUGGUUUUGGGGAUGAGUACAAAGAAAUAGUUGGCAAGUUAGUUGACAAAGACGACAUAACUCUUAGUGUUGUCUCCAUAGUUGCCAUGGGUGGGGCUGGAAAAACAACACUCGCUAGAAAAGUAUACACUUCAUCUAGUGUCAAACAACACUUUGAGGCAGCUUCUUGGGUCACUGUAUCUCAAAAAUUCAAGGGCAUUGAUUUACUAAAGGAUAUUAUGAAACAAAUAAUGGGGGGCAGAGAUGAGUCAGUUGCUAAGAUGAAUGAGUAUGAGGUGGGAAAUAAGAUCCAUGAUUUUCUAUUGCAAAAAACAUACUUGGUAGUUCUUGAUGAUGUGUGGGAAACCGACACAUGGGAUCAGAUAAACAAAAGGGUUAAGACUUUUCCAGAUGCAACUAAUGGUAGUAGAGUACUAUUAACCACCCGGAAAGAAGAUGUUGCAAAUCACGUCCAAAUGCCAAUCUAUGUCCAUCAUUUGAACAAGUUAGAUGAAGAGAAAAGUUGGGAACUAUUUAGUUGCAAAGCUUUACCAUCAUAUAAGAGGUCUGUCAUACGUGAUGUGGACGAGUUUGAAAAACUUGGGAGAAAGCUUGCAAAGAAAUGUGAUGGACUGCCACUUGCACUUGCAGUUUUGGGGGCAGAAAGCUUCAUUCCACAUACACCAAAGCAUAUACUAGAAGAAACAACACAUAAUUAUGUAACCGAGUUGGCUCAAAGAAGCUUGGUACAAGUUGUUGGCAGAAGUACGGCACAUGGAUGGAUACAGAGUAUAAGGAUUCAUGAUAUUCUACAUGACUGGUGCACGGAGGAAGCAAGACAAGAUGGUUUUCUUAAUGCCAUCGACAAAACUGCAGGCCAAGCUGGUGCAUCAUCAUCAUCUGAUAACUUGAUAUCUUAUCGUUUUAGCUUUCAAACAUUGAGUGAUCGGAUUUUACCUGCGGCGCCUAAUGUCCGAAGUCUGCUUGGCUUUGAGCUUGAAUCAGUGUCCCUUCCUAAGCUGAGAUUCCUGAGAGUUCUUUGCAUUGAAGAUUCAACACUAAAAGAUUUCUCCAGCGUAAUUGGUGGGUGCAUUCACAUAAGAUUGCUUAGGUUGAGAAGAUGUGCAGAUGUGGUGCUCCCUUCUUCAAUUGGAAAACGCCUUUACUUGCAGACUAUAGAAGUCGAGGACACGGAGUUGAAGUCAGGGGUACCAAACUCGCUCUGGGACAUCCCUAGUCUAAGGCAUGUUUCAGUGUGGGAAAUUUUUCUCCACCACCACGUGCAAGGACUGAAUCAACUAACAACCUUCUCCUUGUCGAUGCGCCCCAAUAUACCAGCGGAGGUGCUCAACAUAUUUGCAAACAUGCCUCACCUGGUCGAUAUAGUAAAUCUCGGCCAUUUUGAUGAGAUCGAUAAGCUGCCUGCCGAGUUCCCACAAAGCGUACGUCGUCUUGUUCUAUAUGCUGGUGUCAUAAAACAAGACCCGAUGCCGAUCCUGGAGAAACUCCCCUGUCUUGUGGAGUUGUAUUUGAGUGGGUACAGAGGCCAGACCAUGUGCUGCUCUUCCCAAGGGUUCCCUCGGCUGCAAGAGUUAGAACUUUAUAGUUUUUCCACCGAGGUGUGGAGGUUGGAGGAAGGGACAAUGCCAAAGCUCUCCGACCUGACACUUUGGCUGUGGGAGAAGAUGAGCAAGCUCCCCGUGGGGUUGCUGCACCUUCAGUCCCUCGAUCACCUGAAGCUGACCUUUAUGCCCCAGAUUUCUGAAGAUGACAUCACACUAAAGGAGCUGCGGCGGAAAGGAUGCGAGGAUCAACUUCACUGCUUCCGUGCGUGUGAAGAAAUAGAGAAAUCCAGCGCCCUGGAAUUCUCCCCUCGAAUCCAUCUCUCACUCCUCCGAAUCCUCACGUCUCUCCUUCUCCAUCGACGGACUCUCUCCCCCAAAUCCCCAAUGGCCCCUCCCGAUGCCAAUCUCAUCGCCACCCUGUUCUCCGAUGCGGUCGCCAGGCCCUUGAACCGUGACUUGUCUCGAUUGACCCCCAUGCGCUCCUUCGAUGGAGCUGCCGCUGGCAGGGGGGUCCAUGGAGCUGGACCUCUCCAUCCCCAACCAGUAUGGCUCAAACCUGGGCUCGGUCACGUCCCCCCGGUGCGGUCGGUGGCGGAGGCUGAUGCGGGCCAGAUGGAGGAGCCGCUGGGAGAGGCGCGCACUCCUAUCGCGUCCGUACGUCGUUUCGUUCGCUCGUACCCUCCCCCUCCCAUCGAAUGA